rnacentral:rRNA from 1 species
AGCUCCAAAAGCGUAUAUUAAAGUUGUUGCAGUUAAAAGCUCGUAGUUGAAAUUGAGGAAAGAAAAUAAAUUGAAAUCUUUGAUUGAUAUUUAUUUUCUCCUUCUAUGUCGUGAAUAUUGUUUAAUUUCUUCAUUGAAUUUAUUCAAUAUCCGACAAUUUUACUUUGAAAAAAUUAGAGUGCUUAAAGCAGGCUUUUGCCUGUAUAUUGUUGCAUGGAAUAAUGAAAUAGGACUUCGGUUUUAUUUUGUUGGUUUUCUUAACUGAAGUAAUGAUUAAAAGAGACUGCCGGGGGCAUAUGUAUGCUGGUGUUAGAGGUGAAAUUCUUAGAUCAUCAGCAGACAAACUACUGCGAAAGCAUUUGCCAAGAAUGUUUUCA